CCUACGGGCGGCAGCAGUGGGGAAUAUUGCACAAUGGGGGAAACCCUGAUGCAGCGACGCCGCGUGAGUGAAGAAGUAUUUCGGUACGUAAAGCUCUAUCAGCAGGGAAGAAAAUGACGGUACCUGACUAAGAAGCCCCGGCUAACUACGUGCCAGCAGCCGCGGUAAUACGUAGGGGGCAAGCGUUAUCCGGAUUUACUGGGUGUAAAGGGAGCGUAGACGGCAGCGCAAGUCUGGAGUGAAAUCCCAUGGCUUAACCAUGGAACUGCUUUGGAAACUGUGCAGCUAGAGUGCAGGAGAGGUAAGCGGAAUUCCUAGUGUAGCGGUGAAAUGCGUAGAUAGUAGGAGGAACACCAGUGGCGAAGGCGGCUUACUGGACUGUAACUGACGUUGAGGCUCGAAAGCGUGGGGAGCAAACAGGAUUAGAUACCCGAGUAGUC
rnacentral:rRNA from 1 species